CGCGUCGUGGUAUUUCGCGUAUUGUAAUUUCAACACGAGCGGGGUCAAAUCCUUUGCAGACGACUUAUCUGUGCGAAACGGUCCUGUAACCAGUAUAUUAGCCUUGUUGUUACGAUCUGCUGAGGGUAAGCCGUCCUUCGCCUCGAUUU
rnacentral:rRNA from 1 species